UGAAAGUGUUGAUGUUUGGAUGUUUGUUACUCAAUAACACAAAAACGGCUGAAUGGAUUUGGAUAAAAUAUGGAAUGGAGAUAGAUUAUACCCUGGAUU